rnacentral:rRNA from 1 species
GCAUGGAUACAACAUAGUGUUAAUACACUAGAUUCCAUUAGAAAUCCAAAGUUAAGAGCGCUCGUGAUAGAGUAGUACUUGGAUGGGUGACCGCUCAACAAAUCCUAGUGUUUUACAUGCC